AAAUAGUUGAAGUAUAUAUUUCCGGAAUUCAUGGCUUACAACAAUCAGGAAUGAAUUAACAUAUGAAAUGAUUAAUUCCUUUUUUUCACAUAAUUUUAUAGAAAAAAGGGAGAAGUUAAUGAUGUGCGUUUUCUAGUUGUGGUCAAUGAAAGAUGGGCGUUGUAUAAUGACUUCGACAUCGUUUUAGGUGUGAACAUCCUCUGUCAUAACCGUUUGAUGGUGGUGGGAGGCAAUUACCGCCUCCUAGUUUGCAUGGAACUUGAAGAUUUUUUCCCAGUCCCGGGUAGCUGAUUGGUGUCGCGUUUGCACCCUCUUCCAUCACCAUUGAGCUUAUUACCAAUGAACAAAUCCACAACACCAUGAUCUUCUUCUCCACUCCCAUUUUGUUCCAAGAAAUAUACAAUUAUUUAUUUAAUUAGAACUUUACACUAUCUUUCAAUCAAAAGUUUGGGUUUUUUAUCGCUUCAUGGUACUUGUAUAUUUAGUAAAAUGUUUAACCAUAAAUACAAGAUUUAAGCAUUUUUUAAGACAGUUUUAGUGAAUAAGAUGAUGAGUUCAUAACAGAAUUCCCUAGUCUCUUUCAACGCUAUUCAUCCUUUCCAAAAUUAUACAUGCAAUACUAGAUAAAAAAAUGACAUGUUAAAUGUCAGUUUUCUUUAUCAACUACCAAUUUGAGUAAUAUUUUUCAAUGAAAAUAUAAGGAAAUCUCCUCCCUUUCUUUUUCAACAAACUAUUACUAUCCCGUACAACUUUAAAAUCAGUUAUUUGACUAAUGGUAAAUGUACAAUUUUAUUUGAAAUAAUAAGUUAUUCACAUUUUCGUUGUUCUUAUUUCCUAAAGCAUGUGGUAAUCUGAUUGUGUCCGGAUUAAAUUUGGGUUAUAGUUUUAGGAGCUUACUAUUAUUAUUUUGUUUAUGCUAACUUUAGUUUUUAUUAUUUCUUCUAUUUUGUUUAUUAUUAGAAAUUCUAUCGUAUGCGUAUACUUGUGGAAAUUACAUAUUUACAAUAUGAAUGUUUUUAAAACUAACAAACAAUAAAUAAUGAAAUGUAUGGUUCAAAACUAAAAAUAAUAACAAACUUUAUGAGAGAAAACAUUUUGUGCUACAAAUCAAUUUUUUAGAAGUUUACUCAAGAAAUAUUAUUGAUGUAGUGGUAAAGAAUUUGUUUGUAGAUCCAUUAAACACAAGUACCAAUCCCCAAACAUGGUAAAUUUAGUUCUUUUAACUAAAAACUAUAUAAAUGUAUGAAAAUACAAAAAAGGCAUCAGAAUGAUAAUAAUAGUCAUUUAACUAAAUUGUUUAUAAGUAAUUCCCUAAGUUGUGACAGACCACAGCCCAACGUGUUGAUGUGUUGGCUAAAAACCACGCAAAUAAAAUAUGUAGAGUUAAGUGCGGUUUCUGCAGGUGAACAUGUCAACCUGCAAUAUAGUUUUCUUUACAAUUAAACACUUAUAAAGUAUUUCGAGGAUCGUAUCCAAGGGAUUAUUGAUUAAAGAAAAUGGCUAUUAAAUUAAUUACAGAAAUUAAGUACUAAUCUAGUCGAGUUAUAAAUUAGUAGUAUAAAUCCAAAACAAUAAUAAAAUUAACUAAUUAUUUUAACCGAAAACUAAAAGUAACCCUAAGUUAAUUAUUUGUUUCUCCUAUUCCUAGUUUCGACAACGUGAUCCUUCACAGCCAAGAAUCAAUUUUAACCCUAAUUAUUAAUUAAGUAGACAAGGACCUUUAAUUAAGUAUGUACUAACCUUAGCUAAGAAUACCUUCCCGGUUUCAUCUUCAUUAAGAAUUACAACCUAAGAUUCCUUUUUGGUCUUACCUAAGCAUACGGAUACCCUUUUGUUCUCACUGCUUGGUACAAGUUCUACUCAAUUGGAUACCCUCUCAGUCUCACUUGUCUAGAUCUUCUACUAUAGGUGUCACUUCCUAGUAUAUUAAGUACUUUCGAAUAAAAACUCAAUUUUAGGUUACUAUUUAUUUAAUCAAUUAAUUAAUGAAAUAAUCAAGUCAUUCAAAAUAAGUAUGGAGCCCAAAAUACAUUCCAAUAAUUAUAUAUACAUUCUAUUAAUAAAACUAUCAAAUGCAAUAUAAAUGAAAGAAUAAAGGGACGAGAAUGCUCGUUAAUUAAUCAUUGAAAUGGCACUAUUUCAAAACAUCAUUUGCUCGCGAUCGACUAACUUUGAGAGACAAGCAUGUAUUGGUCCAUCAAUUAAUUAGUUAGAGGCUAAGAGGUAAUAGCUGGUAAUUAAUAGCUAACUUGAUAAAACCUGAGUUCUGAAGUUAAUUAGGAACACUGAAAUGAAUUAAUCUUAUGCCUGCUUAAUUGAAUUUAAUUUAGAUUGUUAAAAUUGAUUGUCUUUAAUUUUUGUUAAUUUAUGUUUUUUUGAUUGAUUGCCUUUGAUUUAGUUUUUGGUAAUAUAAUAUUAGAUUACUACUAUUUAGCCUGGUUAGUGUAGCAUAUUAGUCUUGGUUCAAUUCAACCUCCCUUGGGUACGAUCCUCGGAAUAGAUCCCGAAGUGUUUCCUUGUAACAUUAUUCUAUAUUACAAUUUAACUCGUAUACUUGUUGACACACUACAUUAUUAAUUGGCUCUUUAGCUGUUGUAUUUGAAACCCAGACGUUCGCAACUCUGGUGGCAGUCAUUUGGCCAAAUGUUGACAGUUGGACAUGAAGAGUUUAAGAUGUACCCAUCAGUUGCAGGCUCCUUCGUGCGACCCAUGAAACUAGGGCAUGGGAACACCUAUAUCCAACAAACUCAUUGAAGUUAAUAAGACCUCCAUUGUUCGCACCGCUUUACUUAAAACUAUUUCUAUGUCACUUUUUCAUGAACGUAAGACAACUUAUAUGAAUUAGAAAAAAUAUUAAUAAGACCUUUGCUCAAAUUUUUAAAAAAAUAGUUGAAGUAUAUAUUUCCGGAAUUCAUGGCUUACAACAAUCAGGAAUGAAUUAACAUAUGAAAUGAUUAAUUCCUUUUUUUCACAUAAUUUUAUAGAAAAAAGGGAGAAGUUAAUGAUGUGCAUUUUCUAGUUGUGGUCAAUGAAAGAUGGGCGUUGUAUAAUGACUUCGACAUCGUUUUAGGUGAGAACAUCCUCUGUCAUAACCGUUUGAUGGUGGUGGGAGGCAAUUACCGCCUCCUAGUUUGCAUGGAACUUGAAGAUUUUUUCCCAGUCCCGGGUAGCUAAUUGGUGUCGCGUUUGCACCCUCUUCCAUCACCAUUGAGCUUAUUACCAAUGAACAAAUCCACAACACCAUGAUCUUCUUCUCCACUCCCAUUUUGUUCCAAGAAAUAUACAAUUAUUUAUUUAAUUAGAACUUUACACUAUCUUUCAAUCAAAAGUUUGGGUUUUUUAUCGCUUCAUGGUACUUGUAUAUUUAGUAAAAUGUUUAACCAUAAAUACAAGAUUUAAGCAUUUUUUAAGACAUUUUUAGUAAAUAAGAUGAUGAGUUCAUAACAGAAUUCCCUAGUCUCUUUCAACGCUAUUCAUCCUUUCCAAAAUUAUACAUGCAAUACUAGAUAAAAAAAUGACAUGUUAAAUGUCAGUUUUCUUUAUCAACUACCAAUUUGAGUAAUAUUUUUCAAUGAAAAUAUAAGGAAAUCUCCUCCCUUUCUUUUUCUACAAACUAUUACUAUCCCGUACAACAUUAAAAUCAGUUAUUUGACUAAAGGUAAAUGUACAAUUUUAUUUGAAAUAAUAAGUUAUCCACAUUUUCGUUGUUCUAAUUUCCUAAAGCAUGUGGUAAUCCGAUUGUGUCCGAUUGUGUCCGGGUUAAAUUUGGGUUAUAGUUUUAGGAGCUUACUAUUAUUAUUUUGUUUAUGCUAACUUUAGUUUUUAUUAUUUCUUCUAUUUUGUUUAUUAUUAUAAAUUCUAUCGUAUGCGUAUACUUGUGGAAAUUACAUAUUUACAAUAUGAAUGUUUUUAAAACUAACAAACAAUAAAUAAUGAAAUGUAUGGUUCAAAACUAAAAAUAAUAACAAACUUUAUGAGAGAAAACAUUUUGUGUUAAAAAUCAAUUUUUUUGAAGUUUACUCAAGAAAUAUUAUUGAUGUAGUGGUAAAGAAUUUAUCUGUAGAUCCAUUAAACACAAGUACCAAUCCCCAAACAUGGUAAAUUUAUUUCUUUUAACUAAAAACUAUAUAAAUGUAUGAAAAUACGAAAAAGGCAUCAGAAUGAUAAUAAUAGUCAUUUAACUAAAUGGUUUAUAAGUAAUUCCCUAAGUUGUGACAGACCACAGCCCAACGUGUGGAUGUGUUGGCUAAAAACCACGCAAAUAAAAUAUGUAGAGUUAAGUGCGGUUUCUGCAGGUGAACAUGUCAACUUGCAAUAUAGUUUUCUUUACAAUGAAACACUUAUAAAGUAUUUCGAGGAUCGUACCCAAGGGAUUAUUGAUUAAAGAAAAUGGCUAUUAAAUUAAUUACAGAAAUUAAGUACUAAUCUAGUCGAGUUAUAAAUUAGUCGUAUAAAUCCAAAACAAUAAUAAAAUUAACUAAUUAUUUUAACCGAAAACUAAAAGUAACCCUAAGUUAAUUAUUUCUUUCUCCUAUUCCUAGUUUCGACAACGUGAGCCUUCUCAGCCAAGAAUCAAUUUUAACCCUAAUUAUUAAUUAAGUAGACAAGGACCUUUAAUUAAGUAUGUACUAACCUUAGCUAAGAAUACCUUCCCGGUUUCAUCUUCAUUAAGAAUUACAACCUAAGAUUCCUUUUUGGUCUUACCUAAGCAUACGGAUACCCUUUUGUUCUCACUGCUUGGUACAAGUUCUACUCAAUAGGAUACCCUCUCAGUCUCACUUGUCUAGAUCAUCUACUAUAGGUGUCACUUCCUAGUAUAUUAAGUACUUUCGAAUAAAAACUAAAUUUUAGGCUACUAUUUAUUUAAUCAAUUAAUUACUGAAAUAAUCAAGUCAUUCAAAAUAAGUAUGAAGCCCAAAAUACAUUCCAAUAAUUAUAUAAACAUUCUAUUAAUAAAACUAUCAAAUACAAUAUAAAUGAAAGAAUAAAGGGACGAGAAUGCUCGUUAAUUAAUCAUUGAAAUGGCAAUAUUUCAAAACAUCCUUUGCUCGCGAUCGACUAACUUUGAGAGAGAAGCAUGUAUUGGCCCAUCAAUUAAUUAGUUAGAGGCUAAGAGGUAAUAGCUGGUAAUUAAUAGCUAACUUGAUAAAACCUGAGUUCUGAAGUUAAUUAGGAACACUGAAAUGAAUUAAUCUUAUGCCUGCUUAAUUUAAUUUAACUUCGAUUGUUAAAAUUGAUUGUCUUUAAUUUUUGUUAAUUUAUGUUUUUUUGAUUGAUUGCCUUUGAUUUAGUUUUUGGUAAUAUAAUAUUAGAUUACUACUAUUUAGCCUGGUUAGUGUAGAAUAUUAGUCUUGGUUCAAUUCAACCUCCUUUGGGUACGAUCCUCGGAAUAGAUCCCGAAGUGUUUCCUUGUAACAUUAUUCUAUAUUACAAUUUAACUCGUAUACUUGUUGACACACUACAUUAUUAAUUGGCUCUUUAGCUACGGUAUUUUCAACCCAGACAUUCGCACAUCUGGUGGCAGUCAUUUGGCCAAAUGUUGACAAUUGGACAUGAAGAGUUUAAGAUGUACACAUCAGUUGCAGGCUCCUUCGUGCGACCCAUGAAACUAGGGCAUGGGAACACCUAUAUCCAACAAACUCAUUGAAGUUAAUAAGACCUUCAUUGUUCACACCGCUUUACUUAAAACUAUUUCAAUGUCACUUUUUUAAGAACGUAAGACAACUUAUAUGAAUUAGAGAAAAUAUUAAUAAGACCUUUGCUCAAAUUUUUAAAAAAAUAGUUGAAGUAUAUAUUUCCGAAAUUCAUGGCUUACAACAAUCAGGAAUGAAUUAACUUAUGAAAUGAUUAAUUCCUUUUUUUUCUCAUAAUUUUAUAGAAAAAAGGGAGAAGUUAAUGAUGUGCGUUUUCUAGUUGUGGUCAAUGAAAGAUGGGCGUUGUAUAAUGACUUCGACAUCGUUUUAGGUGUGAACAUCCUCUGUCAUAACUGUUUGAUGGUGGUGGGAGGCAAUUACCGCCUCCUAGUUUGCAUGGAACUUGAAGAUUUUUUCCCAGUCCCGGGUAGCUGAUUGGUGUCGCGUUUGCACCCUCUUCCAUCACCAUUGAGCUUAUUACCAAUGAACAAAUCCACAACACCAUGAUCUUCUUCUCCACUCCCAUUUUGUUCCAAGAAAUAUACAAUUAUUUAUUUAAUUAGAACUUUACACUAUCUUUCAAUCAAAAGUUUGGGUUUUUUAUCGCUUCAUGGUACUUGUAUAUUUAGUAAAAUGUUUAACCAUAAAUACAAGAUUUAAGCAUUUUUUAAGACAGUUUUAGUAAAUAAGAUGAUGAGUUCAUAACAGAAUUCCCUAGUCUCUUUCAACGCUAUUCAUCCUUUCCAAAAUUAUACAUGCAAUACUAGAUAAAAAAUGACUUGUUAAAUGUCAGUUUUCUUUAUAAACUACCAAUUUGAAUAAUAUUUUUCAAUGAAAAUAUAAGGAAAUCUCCUCCCUUUCUUUUUCUACAAACUAUUACUAUCCCGUACAACUUUAAAAUCAUUUAUUUGACUAAUGGAAAAUCAACAAUUUUAUUUGAAAUAAUAAGUUAUCCACAUUUUCGUUGUUCUUAUUUCCUAAAGCAUGUGGUAAUCCGAUUGUGUCCGGGUGAAAUUUGGGUUAUAGUUUUAGGAGCUUACUAUUAUUAUUUUCUUUAUGCUAACUUUUGUUUUUAUUAUUUCUUCUAUUUUGUUUAUUAUUAGAAAUUCUAUCGUAUGCGUAUACUUGUGGAAAUUACAUAUUUACAAUAUGAAUGUUUUUAAAACUAACAAACAAUAAAUAAUGAAAUGUAUGGUUCAAAACUAAAAAUAAUAACAAACUUUGUGAGAGAAAACAUUUUGUGCUAAAAAUCAAUUUUUUAGAAGUUUACUCAAGAAAUAUUAUUGAUGUAGUGGUAAAGAAUUUGUUUGUAGAUCCAUUAAACACAAGUUCCAAUCCCCAAACAUGGUAAAUUUAGUUCUUUUAACUAAAAACUAUAUAAAUCUAUGAAAGUACAAAAAGGGCAUCAAAAUGAUAAUAAUAGUCAUCUAACUAAAUGGUUUAUUAGUAAUUCCCUAAGUUGUGACAGACCACAGCCCAACGUGUGAAUGUGUUGGCUAAAAAUCACGCAAAUAAAAUAUGUAGAGUUAACUGCGGUUUCUGCAGGUGAACAUGUCAACUUGCAAUAUUGUUUUCUUUGCAAUGAAACACUUAUAAAGUAUUUCGAGGAUCGUACCCAAGGGAUUAUUGAUUAAAGAAAAUGGCUAUUAAAUUAAUUACAGAAAUUAAGUACUAAUCUAGUCGAGUUACAAAUUAGUAGUAUAAAUCCAAAACAAUAAUAAAAUUAACUAAUUAUUUUAACCGAAAACUAAAUGUAACCGUAAAUUAAUUAUUUGUUUCUCCUAUUCCUAGUUUCGACAACGUGAGCCUUCUCAGCCAAGAAUCAAUUCUAACCCUAAUUAUUAAUUAAGUACACAAGAACCUUGAAUUAAGAAUGUACUAACCUUAGCGAAGAAUACCUUCCCGGUUUCAUCUUCAUUAAGAAUUACAACCUAAGAUUCCUUUUCGGUCUUACCUAAGCAUACGUAUACCCUUUUGUUCUCACAGCUUGGUACAAGUUCUACUCAAUAGGAUACCCUCUCAGUCUCACUUGUCUAGAUCUUCUACUAUAGGUGUCACUUCCUAGUAUAUUAAGUACUUUCGAAUAAAAACUCAAUUUUAGGUUACUAUUAAUUUAAUCAAUUAAUUAAUGAAAUAAUCAAGUCAUUCAAAAAAAGUAAGAAGCCCAAAAUACAUUCCAAUAAUUAUAUAAACAUUCUAUUAAUAAAACUAUCAAAUGCAAUAUAAAUGAAAGAAUAAAGGGACGAGAAUGCUCGUUAAUUAAUCAUUGAAAUGGCACUAUUUCAAAACAUCCUUUGCUCGCGAUCGACUAACUUUGAGAGACAAGCAUGUAUUGGUCCAUUAAUUAAUUAGUUAGAGGCUAAGAGGUAAUAGCUGGUAAUUAAUAGCUAACUUGAUAAAACCUGAGUUCUGAAGUUAAUUAGGAACACUGAAAUGAAUUAAUCUUAUGCCUGCUUAAUUGAAUUUAACUUCGAUUGUUAAAAUUGAUUGUCUUUAAUUUUUGUUAAUUUAUGUUUUUUUGAUUGAUUGCCUUUGAUUUAGUUUUUGGUAAUAUAAUAUUAGAUUACUACUAUUUAGCCUUGUUAGUGUAGAAUAUUAGUCUUGGUUCAAUUCAACCUCCCUUGGGUACGAUCCUCGGAAUAGAUCCUGAAGUGUUUCCUUGUAACAUUAUUCUAUAUUACAAUUUAACUCGUAUACUUGUUGACACACUACAUUAUUAAUUGGCUCUUUAGCUGCGGUAUUUUCAACCCAGACAUUCGCACAUCUGGUGGCAGUCAUUUGGCCAAAUGUUGACAAUUGGACAUGAAGAGUUUAAGAUGUACACAUCAGUUGCAGGCUCCUUUAUGCGACCCAUGAAACUAGGGCAUGGGAACACCUAUAUCCAACAAACUCAUUGAAGUUAAUAAGACCUCCAUUGUUCGCACCGCUUUACUUAAAACUAUUUCUAUGUCACUUUUUUAAGAAUGUAAGACAACUUAUAUGAAUUAGAGAAAAUAUUAAUAAGACCUUUGCUCAAAUUUUUAAAAAAAUAGUUGAAGUAUAUAUUUCCGGAAUUCAUGGCUUACAACAAUCAGGAAUGAAUUAACAGAUGAAAUGAUUAAUUCCUUUUUUUUCACAUAAUUUUAUAGAAAAAAGGGAGAAGUUAAUGCUGUGCAUUUUCUAGUUUUGGUCAAUGAAAGAUGGGCGCUGUAUAGUGACUUCGACAUCGUUUUUGGUGUGAACAUCCUCUGUCAUAACCGUUUGAUGGUUGUGGGAGGCAAUUACCGCCUCCUGGUUUGCAUGGAACUUGAAGAUUUUUUCCCAGUCCCGGGUAGCUGAUUGGUGUCGCGUUUGCACCCUCUUCCAUCACCAUUGAGCUU
rnacentral:lncRNA from 1 species